rnacentral:rRNA from 2 species
CACUAUCGUUAACUGAAUACAUAGGUUAACGAGGCGAACCGGGGGAACUGAAACAUCUAAGUACCCCGAGGAAAAGAAAUCAACCGAGAUUCCCCCAGUAGCGGCGAGCGAACGGGGAGCAGCCCAGAGUCUGAAUCAGCUUGUGUGUUAGUGGAACGGUCUGGAAAGUCCGACGGUACAGGGUGAUAGUCCCGUACACCAAAAUGCACAGGCUGUGAACUCGAAGAGUAGGGCGGGACACGUGGUAUCCUGUCUGAAUAUGGGGGGACCAUCCUCCAAGGCUAAAUACUCCUGACUGACCGAUAGUGAACCAGUACCGUGAGGGAAAGGCGAAAAGAACCCCGGCGAGGGGAGUGAAAAAGAACCUGAAACCGUGUACGUACAAGCAGUGGGAGCACCUUCGGGUGUGACUGCGUACCUUUUGUAUAAUGGGUCAGCGACUUAUAUUCUGUAGCAAGGUUAACCGUAUAGGGGAGCCGCAGGGAAACCGAGUCUUAACUGGGCGUUAAGUUGCAGGGUAUAGACCCGAAACCCGGUGAUCUAGCCAUGGGCAGGUUGAAGGUUGGGUAACACUAACUGGAGGACCGAACCGACUAAUGUUGAAAAAUUAGCGGAUGACUUGUGGCUGGGGGUGAAAGGCCAAUCAAACCGGGAGAUAGCUGGUUCUCCCCGAAAGCUAUUUAGGUAGCGCCUCGUGAAUUCAUCUUCGGGGGUAGAGCACUGUUUCGGCUAGGGGGUCAUCCCGACUUACCAACCCGAUGCAAACUACGAAUACCGAAGAAUGUUAUCACGGGAGACACACGGCGGGUGCUAACGUCCGUCGUGAAGAGGGAAACAACCCAGACCGCCAGCUAAGGUCCCAAAGUCAUGGUUAAGUGGGAAACGAUGUGGGAAGGCACAGACAGCCAGGAUGUUGGCUUAGAAGCAGCCAUCAUUUAAAGAAAGCGUAAUAGCUCACUGGUCGAGUCGGCCUGCGCGGAAGAUGUAACGGGGCUAAACCAUGCACCGAAGCUGCGGCAGCGACACUAUGUGUUGUUGGGUAGGGGAGCGUUCUGUAAGCCUGCGAAGGUGUGCUGUGAGGCAUGCUGGAGGUAUCAGAAGUGCGAAUGCUGACAUAAGUAACGAUAAAGCGGGUGAAAAGCCCGCUCGCCGGAAGACCAAGGGUUCCUGUCCAACGUUAAUCGGGGCAGGGUGAGUCGACCCCUAAGGCGAGGCCGAAAGGCGUAGUCGAUGGGAAACAGGUUAAUAUUCCUGUACUUGGUGUUACUGCGAAGGGGGGACGGAGAAGGCUAUGUUAGCCGGGCGACGGUUGUCCCGGUUUAAGCAUGUAGGCUGAUUGUCCAGGCAAAUCCGGAUAAUCAAGGCUGAGGUGUGAUGACGAGGCACUACGGUGCUGAAGUAACAAAUGCCCUGCUUCCAGGAAAAGCCUCUAAGCAUCAGGUAACAUCAAAUCGUACCCCAAACCGACACAGGUGGUCAGGUAGAGAAUACCAAGGCGCUUGAGAGAACUCGGGUGAAGGAACUAGGCAAAAUGGUGCCGUAACUUCGGGAGAAGGCACGCUGGUGUGUAGGUGAAGUCCCUGCGGAUGGAGCUGAGACCAGUCGAAGAUACCAGCUGGCUGCAACUGUUUAUUAAAAACACAGCACUGUGCAAACACGAAAGUGGACGUAUACGGUGUGACGCCUGCCCGGUGCCGGAAGGUUAAUUGAUGGGGUUAUCCGUAAGGAGAAGCUCUUGAUCGAAGCCCCGGUAAACGGCGGCCGUAACUAUAACGGUCCUAAGGUAGCGAAAUUCCUUGUCGGGUAAGUUCCGACCUGCACGAAUGGCGUAAUGAUGGCCAGGCUGUCUCCACCCGAGACUCAGUGAAAUUGAACUCGCUGUGAAGAUGCAGUGUACCCGCGGCAAGACGGAAAGACCCCGUGAACCUUUACUAUAGCUUGACACUGAACAUUGAGCCUUGAUGUGUAGGAUAGGUGGGAGGCUUUGAAGCGUGGACGCCAGUCUGCGUGGAGCCAACCUUGAAAUACCACCCUUUAAUGUUUGAUGUUCUAACGUUGGCCCCUUACCGGGGUUGCGGACAGUGUCUGGUGGGUAGUUUGACUGGGGCGGUCUCCUCCCAAAGCGUAACGGAGGAGCACGAAGGUUAGCUAAUCCUGGUCGGACAUCAGGAGGUUAGUGCAAUGGCAUAAGCUAGCUUGACUGCGAGCGUGACGGCGCGAGCAGGUGCGAAAGCAGGUCAUAGUGAUCCGGUGGUUCUGAAUGGAAGGGCCAUCGCUCAACGGAUAAAAGGUACUCCGGGGAUAACAGGCUGAUACCGCCCAAGAGUUCAUAUCGACGGCGGUGUUUGGCACCUCGAUGUCGGCUCAUCACAUCCUGGGGCUGAAGUAGGUCCCAAGGGUAUGGCUGUUCGCCAUUUAAAGUGGUACGCGAGCUGGGUUUAGAACGUCGUGAGACAGUUCGGUCCCUAUCUGCCGUGGGCGCUGGAGAAUUGAGGGGGGCUGCUCCUAGUACGAGAGGACCGGAGUGGACGCAUCACUGGUGUUCGGGUUGUCAUGCCAAUGGCACUGCCCGGUAGCUAAAUGCGGAAGAGAUAAGUGCUGAAAGCAUCUAAGCACGAAACUUGCCCCGAGAUGAGUUCUCCCUGAGACUUUAAGUCUCCUGAAGGAACGUUAAAGACGAUGACGUUGAUAGGCCGGGUGUGUAAGCGCAGCGAUGCGUUGAGCUAACCGGUACUAAUGAACCGUGAGGCUUAACCUU